AUGUCGCUCAGACGUCCGACUGUGGCAUGUUUGUCUUUUAUUUCUGUUAUAAGCCCUUUAUGUGGUGUCGCCCUGACGCCCGACUGCGGCAUUACUAUUCUUGCAGUUUCCUCUCGAGGAGUCAUUCAGACCCUCGUUUGGCACCGGUAUUAUUAUUCUUGCAGUUUCCUCUCGAGGAGUCAUUCAGACCCUCGUUUGGCACCAGUAUUACUAUUCUUGCAGUUUCCUCUCGAGGAGUCAUUCAGACCCUCGUUUGGCACCCAGUAUACAUUAUCUCUAUGUCUGAACGCACUGGUUAAUCUGCACAUAUGCUUCAUGUUUACAUUUGUUAUAUCUUAUGCUUCAUGUUUACUUUCAUAG
rnacentral:rRNA from 1 species